CUGGAGCAGGCUACAGUGAUGAGGUUUCUCGCAGGUCAGUGACGCUUGUUUAAAAAGAGAGUUUCACGGGCAUUCAGACUCAUUCCGACAGCCCAAUCAGCAGCAGGAGCAGGCCAUAGCAACAAGGUUUCUUGCAGGUUGCUGAUGCUUGUUUAAAAGUACAUAAGGGACAAGCGGGGUGGCCAUUGUUGGAAGUAGGCCACUGGUGAAAGUAGGAGCGUCAGUCUUUGGCUCGAAGGAGACGUUGGGUCUGGAUGCUGUCUGCUGGAUAUUUCCAGAAUUGUUUUGGAAUUUCAGGUUUUCCAGUACAGCACCCCAACUCCAAAGCAGGACUGAAGAUGACUGCUUUCCAGACACAUUUUGUGGAUUCUAAUAUGACUAAUGAGUCCAAUGUGGAAACUGCAUACAGUAGACAGAGAGAGAAAGACAGAGAAAGCCGUGGACCAACAACAGAGAGAACUGCAGCCAUCGGGAAGCUGAAGACAAGAAAAAGACAAGUAUUGGAACUCUAAAG